CCGGGCGUUCGCUGGGGAGGAUUUUCCUUGCUGCUGCUUAACUUGGAGGAAUACUACUUUGAACAGCAUAGAGCCAAUCACAUUUUGCACAAGGGCAGUCACCAUGAAAGGAAAAUCAGAGGCUCCUUAAAAAUAUGUUCAAAAUCGGUGAUUUUUGAACCAGAUUCAAUAUCUCAGCCCAUCAUCAAGAUUCCUUUGAGAGACUGUAUAAAAAUAGGAAAGCAUGGAGAAAAUGGAGCCAAUAGACACUUCACAAAGUAUGUCAUUUUCACCACUGUUUAAUUUUACUUCAACCAAAAAGCUGUAUAUAUUUAAUGACUUUUAUCUGUAUUUUAGGGCAAAAUCUGGGGGUAUUUCACUCAUUUUCAGUCAGGUAUAUUUCAUUAAAGAACAUAAUGUUGUGGCACCAUAUAAAAUAGAAAGGGUAAGUAAAGCUUUUCAUGUAUUUCCAGCAAUUUAUAUAGUCAUUUUGAACAAUAAAAUUUUGUGACU
rnacentral:sRNA from 1 species